CUGGACAGUACUGACGCUGAGAUGCGAAAGCGUGGGGAGCAAACAGGAUUAGAUACCUGGUAGUCACGCUGUAAACGAUGUCGAUUUGGAGUUUGUUGCCUAGAGUGAUGGGCUCCGAAGCUAACGCGAUAAAUCGACCGCCUGGGGAGUACGGCCGCAAGGUUAAAACUCAAAUGAAUUGACGGGGGCCCGCACAAGCGGUGGAGCAUGUGGUUUAAUUCGAUGCAACGCGAAGAACCUUACCUGGUCUUGACAUCCAUAGAAUUCUGCAGAGAUGUGGGAGUGCCUUCGGGAACUAUGAGACAGGUGCUGCAUGGCUGUCGUCAGCUCGUGUUGUGAAAUGUUGGGUUAAGUCCCGCAACGAGCGCAACCCUUAUUCUUUGUUGCCAGCGAUUUGGUCGGGAACUCAAAGGAGACUGCCGUUGAUAAAGCGGAGGAAGGUGGGGACGACGUCAAGUCAUCAUGGCCCUUACGACCAGGGCUACACACGUGCUACAAUGGCGUAUACAAAGGGAAGCGAAGGUGCGAGCUGGAGCGGAUCUCAUAAAGUACGUCUAAGUUCGGAUUGGAGUCUGCAACUCGACUCCAUGAAGUCGGAAUCGCUAGUAAUCGUAGAUCAGAAUGCUACGGUGAAUACGUUCCCGGGCCUUGUACACACCGCCCGUCACACCAUGGGAGUGGGUUGCACCAGAAGUAGAUAGCUUAACCGCGAGGGGGGCGUUUACCACGGUGUGAUUCAUGACUGGGGUGAAGUCGUAACAAGGUAACCA
rnacentral:rRNA from 1 species